CGUAUUUUCCAUCUCACUAUCUCUCUCCCAUCAUCAACAACCAGGGGAAAUCCUUUCCCAUCGCUACUGUAGCUUGAUUUUCUCUCUCGGCUCUCUACAGAGAGAAAGUAGAUCUCAAAUCAAUUCCUCCCCUCCCCCUUCUCCGAAUUCCCGAUCUAGAUCAUUCCGACCUCCCAAUUGUUCAUCUAGCUAUGGGGUUUGCUAUCUAGUUUCAUUCUAAUUUUUCAAUUCUGGGUUUUGCAGCCUCAGAUCUGAGAUCUCCCUUUCUCCGUCGUCACUGUUCUUCAUUUUUCCCCCAAAGUCCACAGGGCUUGCUUGAGAGCUGGGGAAUUUUCUUCUUGGAAUACACAGUUAUUACACUAUCAGCAUACUUAAAGAUCACAAGUUGGUAGAUUUGGCCAAAUGACAUAUGAUGAUCAGCUGACUUCUCCAAUAAUACCAAGUCUCCAAAUGACAUGAUGAUCAACUUUCGUAGAAGUAAUUCCUCAAAAGUAAAGCUACAGAUAUUAAUUAAUGGAAGGAGGUAAUUUUUCCCAGCAGCCUAGCUCGUAGAGGAUACUACAGGACUGAAAUUGUAAGCAUGAAGCUUUAAUUAGUCCAAGGUGAAUGGGGCUUAGGCAUGCCAAACAUUUAAACUCCUCGUUGUUUAAAGGAGAAAAUAUAUGUAAAUGUGGAUUUAUUUUGCUGCAAUUAUGUCUCAAUGUAAUUAUUCAAUAAUGCAUUUGGUAUGCAGAAUUUUGCCAUUCCGUGAGUAUUGUU